AGGACGAGGGAAGUGAACCAAGAGGAACCUGUUGCCAUGAUCAGACGUGCAGCUGCCUACCUAGUGAGGACUUCAAGCCCCACCACACAGCAUGCUUGCAUUCUCUCCUGGCUUGGGGUAAGAAGUGGCUGUGGUGUUUGGCAAUGCUAAUUCAAUGUCACAACAUAUAGUUUAGGCUGAGGAUAAAGAAGAGACAUUCUGAGUUUGUAGUAAAAGUGGUCUCUGCUGAGGAAGGGUUUUCUUUUCUUUCUUUCUUUUUUUCUUUAAUAACAAGGAGAUUUCUUAGUUCAUGUAUCAAGAAGUCUUCAAGUUGGGUGUUUCCAGAAUUGGUAAAAACAGCAGCUCAUAGAAUUUUGAGGAUUCCACGAGCUGCUCAUCACAGUUCUUUCCUCUUUCUGCUCUGCCAUCUUCAGGAUAUUGGUUGCUCCCCUCAUAGUAAUAAGAUGGCUGUGGCAUUUCCAAACAUCCAAAAAAAGGGAAGGAUUUUAGGAGGUGGAGUCGGGUCAAACAUAAAAUAUAUAUACAUAUAUACAUUGCUUAGAACGUUAAACUAUUAAGAGUAUUUCCCUCCCAAAGAGGGAUGUUUGAAAAAACUCUGAAGGAGAGGAGGAAUUAGUUGGGUUGCCAAUUUCCUCUCCACUGCUGGACAUGAGAUGGAGAGGUUGAGGGACAGGAUCUAUAGGCAGCUUCUAACAGCAAACUUCACAUUGGAAGGGAUCUGAAAACAUGUUGCCAGGGGCUUGAGAAUAUUACUGAGUUAUUGGGAGUCUUAAUGAAGUAAGCUAGCUAUUAGGUCCAUUCAUUAAUUAGUUCCAGUUUCUCCUUGAAAUGAGUAAAAACUAGAAGGCUUCUCCAGUGUUGUGCCCCUUCUCUCUCUCUCUCUCUCUCGGCUCUGUUAACACCUAGCCUAAAGUAUAGAACUGCCUGGAGGGCAGGGUUAGGAAUCUCUUCACUACCCUGAUUCUUGAUUCCUGGCACUACCCUGUCUGUCCCUUUUCUUUUACCAGAUCUUUCUCUUCUCUGAACAUUUUCUUCUUUCCCUGGACACGCAGCCUCCUUUGCGUGUAUUCAGAGGCAGUGAUGACUUGCUGUCCAGGCAGCUCCCUCCUGCAGACAGAAUGCUCAGGGUCACUGAAUCAUUGCUUCUCUUUCGAAAGUACAGCUAGCUGCCACUUUCAUGUGGCCUCCAGGGUGUCUCCACUUACACCCCUGUGCUCCCUUACCACACUGAUGGCUCAAGACAAGGCUGGCAAACCCUCCCAGAAACAUUUCUGGCCCCGAGAGCCUCUCUUUCUCUCUCCUUCUCUCAUAAGGCACAGCCAAUCCAAGUGCUCACUUUGAGCCGGUGGGUCAGCCACAGAGCAAAAGAGGGUUUAUUUUCAAUCCCCUCUGUCUGGGUCAGAACCAGAGAGCAUGCUGAAUGCCCCCUGCUUGCUCGGUAAGGGUGCCCCGCCUGAGUCAGUGCUCUCAGCCGGCAAUACAAUGCUUGUAGAAGUAGGAGGAAACAGUUCUCACUGGAAAGAAGCAAGGGCAAGAACGCAAGUGCCUCACCCCGAAAAGAGGCCCUAUUCCCUGGAGUCAGGGUGAACUGCAAAGCUUUGGCUGAGACCUGAGAUUUGAGAUACUACAAACCCUGCUGAACAGAGUGUCUGUUCAGCAAACUAACCUGUAUUCCCUACAGCCUAGGGCAGACAAUAGUAUAGAAGUCUGGAAAAAAACAAAAACAAACACAGAACACCAGUAUUUUGAGAACCUUGGACCACUCCUGUCCCUGUAGCUCAGUCAUCAAAGCAGAAGCGUGGCUUUGCUCUAUUAAGAUUGGAAAUGUACACUACCAAACACUCAGUCCACUGUUGAGCCCCAGUGCUGGAAGGGAGGAGCGCCUUUCUUCCUGUGUUAAUUGCAGAGAGGCUAUAGGGGUUAGCCUGAACUAAAGGCAUCCUUGUCUUUUGAGCUAUUCACCUCAGUAGAAAAGAAUCUAAGGGAAGAUCACUGUAGUUUAGUUCUGUUGACCUGUGCGCCUACCCCUUGGAAAUGUCUGCUGGUAUUUAUAAUUCCACAGGUCAUCAGAGGCCUGCUUGAUAAUAUAUGAAUAAUAAAAAACAACUUUCACUUCUUCCUAU